GAUGAACGCUGGCGGCGUGCCUAAUACAUGCAAGUCGAGCGGUAAGGCUCCUUCGGGAGUACACGAGCGGCAGACGGGUGAGUAAUACGUAGGAACGUACCCCAAAGUGAGGAAUAACCAGCCGAAAGGUUGGCUAAUACCGCAUAUGCUCUACGGAGUAAAGCAGCAAUGCGCUUUGGGAACGGCCUGCGUCCGAUUAGCUAGUUGGUAAGGUAAAGGCUUACCAAGGCGACGAUCGGUAGCUGUUCUGAGAGGAUGAUCAGCCACACUGGAACUGAGACACGGUCCAGACUCCUACGUGAGGCAGCAGUAGGGAAUUUUCCACAAUGGGCGAAAGCCUGAUGGAGCAACGCCGCGUGCAGGAUGAAGGCCUUAGGGUUGUAAACUGCUUUUAUCUGUGACGAUUAUGACAGUAGCAGAUGAAUAAGGAUCGGCUAACUCCGUGCCAGCCGCCGCCGUAA
rnacentral:rRNA from 1 species